UACAGAGGGGGCAAGCGUUAUUCGGAAUUAUUGGGCGUAAAGGGCGCGUAGGCGGCGAUUCAAGUGACGGGUGAAAUCCCUCGGCUUAACCGAGGAGCUGCCUGUCAGACUGGAUUGCUUGAGGCCGGGAGAGGCGAGUGGAGUUCCCAGUGUAGCGGUGAAAUGCGUAGAUAUUCGGAAGAACACCAGUGGCGAAGGCGGCUCACUGGCCCGGUACUGACGCUGAGGUGCGAAAGCGUGGGGAGCGAACAGG
rnacentral:rRNA from 1 species